GGGUCGGCUUUAGCUCAAGCGGUUACUUCCUCAGUCUGGAUGUUCUAUCCACAUAAUCCCUGUGCUGGGGUUCGAGACCCGCGGGUGCUUUCUGACCCUUUU
rnacentral:vault_RNA from 12 species